rnacentral:rRNA from 1 species
CAAUAGCGUAUAUUAAAGUUGUUGCAGUUAAAAAGCUCGUAGUUGGAUUUCUGGUGGGAGCGAUCGGUCUGGCGCUUAGCGCGAGUACUUGCAUCGUCUCCGGCCAUCCUUGGGGAGAGUCUGUCUGGCAUUAGGUUGUCGGGCAGAGGAUCCUCAUCGUUUACUGUGAAAAAAUUAGAGUGUUCAAAGCAGGCUUAUGCCGUUGAAUAUAUUAGCAUGGAAUAAUAAGAUAGGACUUUGGUACUAUUUUGUUGGUUUGCGCACCAAAGUAAUGAUUAAUAGGGACAGUUGGGGGUAUUCGUAUUCCGUUGUCAGAGAUGAAAUUCUUGGAUUUACGGAAGACGAACUACUGCGAAAGCAUUUACCAAGGAUGUUUUCAUUAA